rnacentral:tRNA from 1 species
GGUGGCUUAGUGGUAGAGUGCUUGCCUUGCAUGCAUGAAGCCCUGGGUUCGAUUCCUCAGUAACCA